rnacentral:rRNA from 1 species
UUCGCAAUGCCCGAAAGGGUGACGAUGCGACGCCGCGUGAGCGAAGAAGGCCCUAGGGUUGUAAAGCUCUGUCGAGGGUUAUGAAAUAUAGAUGGGUUAAUACCCCAUUUAUUUGACAAAAGCCCAAAAGGAAGCCACGGCUAACUCUGUGCCAGCAGCCGCGGUAAUACAGAGGUGGCAAGCGUUGUUCGGAAUUAUUGGGCGUAAAGAGCACGUAGGUGGGUUUGCAAGUCAGAUGUGAAAGCCUCCUGUUCAACGGGAGAAUUGCAUCUGAAACUGCAGAUCUUGAGUGUAGGAGGGGAGAAUGGAACUUCUGGUGGAGCGGUGAAAUGCGUAGAUAUCAGAAGGAACGCCGGCGGCGAAAGCGAUUCUCUGGCCUAUUACUGACGCUCAGGUGCGAAAGCUAGGGGAGCAAACGGGAUUAGAUACCCCGGUAGUCCUAGCCGUAAACGAUGGGCACUAAGUAGAGGGGUUUU